CUGUGCGCCGAGUAGGAAGUGACUCUGUGGCGCUCGGGGACGCAGAGCAGCCACCUGACGCUGCUACCGCCCCCCUCCGGACUCUGGCGCCUGAAGCCUCAACACGGGAGCUUCCGACGCCCUGAGAAACCCCACUAUCUGGAGCAGGAGCCAGAUGGAAUAUGAGCGCAGAGCUGGCAUCCCGAAUGGCCCUGAGCCCCAGGCUGGAUGUGGCGCGCGGGGGCGCCUACACGGCGUCUGGGGAGCUUCCCCGGGGUUGCUGAAUGCAGGAGGAGAACAGGGAGCUGGAUCCCCCCUACCCAAACUUUCAGAAAAGAGUUCGCUUGAUGCUAGGAGUCCUAGGAAAGAGUGAAAAAUUCAGACAAGAGCGAUAGCAAUCGGCAGCGUUUGCGUGGAAAAGUGGUACAAGCCCUGAGAAGAAAGCUGCUGCGCAAGGCUGGGGAGAGGCCGCCCUCUCUGUACGUUCAGGACCCGGACUGGAGUGGGACCGUUAGGAACAGUCUAAAAGCAAGGGACAGCCACACAGAAGGGAAAACUGCUCAAGUAAGAAUGGGGCGGGAAGACACAGAGGGGAGCCCGAGCUGCAGCAGUGCGUUCUUUUAUCUGAGGCAUUGUUUUGGCCUCCAGACUGCAGCACCAACAUGCACUAAGAACUUCUUGACAUGCAAAUUUGGGAGCCUUAUCCCUAAAUGAGUGUGCUAAGAACGCUGAGGAUGGAGUUUUGCCGUCUUUUGCUAACAAGCCCCCUGGGCAAAAUAUGAUACACAAGCCACACACCAAGAAGGACAAAGCCAAAACUUCCUUUCUGGAGGCUCCACCUGGGCCUGUGGAGACAAGAACCCACCGGGAAGAGAAAGGGCUCCCUGGCAGGGCACAAAGGGUAAAGGGCCAAGACCAAGAAAUUGUACUGCCCACAACCAGGCCUAGUCUUCCCACCUCAUUGAAUCCAAGAAAAUCCUUCAUAGAAAUGCACAGAGGUCAACCCAAUCCAGACAAUUCCUCAUGGAGACUCUCUUCCCAGCCAGGAUUUUCAGGGGGGCUCUCCCGAUCAAAUCUGAUCUCUAUCAACCUUAAAUGAAUCCACAGCCUUUCAUUUCCUGUGGAAACAAAAGCAUAACAUUUUCCCCAAGGUAAGACUUUUUUUGGCUUCCAUUUUAAAGUUAAAGCAUUCCUAAAGUAUAUAGUUUGGUUUAAUUUCACAGUCCCUUUCAUAAUCCAAUGUCUCUCAGCAGCUGUUGUCUGUUCAUUAGCAUUCAAAAAAAUCAGAAUUAAUAAAGCACUAUAGAAGAUCCCAAAUCCCUGAGUUGUAAUAUUUCCCUUCCUUACAUGGCUUAUCAUUUACUUUUUAAUCACUUUACUACUCUCUUUAAAGAUUCUAUUAUUUUUUAAACUAUUUUUUAAGACUGUCUAUAUCCUUUUUCUUUUUUUCUUAAGCCUACAUACAUUGUUAAACACACUGUAACCUGUUUAGAGGGUUUUUCCAUUUGAACUUGCUUUACUGCAUAUCUGUAACCUUUUCUGUCUGCAUGAGCAAAACUUUACAUCACUAUGCAACUUAGCUCAUAGCACUGGCAGCUCAAUCCCACAGGCAGUGGCCAGAAGAUACGUCUCUGUACUGUGACCCUCAUGAGAGACUUCGAGACUAGGAAGCCACAUUUGGCUCCAUUUUUGUGUGUUUGGAACCUUUUUUUAAGCAUUCUUGGGUCUUAUGUGAAAAUACUUACCCCACAUUUGGUGUCAUUUGUAGUCAAACUUUUUUGUUGGUGCAGUUGACUCAGAGACUUGUUCAUAAUGAAAGCUCAGCAAAUAGCUUAGGCUUGUUUCUAACUAGCUCUUAUAACUUAUUAAACCAUUUUAUUAAUUUACUUUCUACCUUGUGGCUUUAUUACUUCAUCUCCAUAUUGCCGAUCCUGCUUGCCCUAUGUCUCUUGGUGACUUCUCCUUUCUUCUUCCCACAGCUCUCUGUUCCCAGAAUUGCUGCCUGUACCUCCUGCCUAGCUAUUGACCACUCAGCUCUUUAUUAAACCAAUCACAGUGACACAUCUUCACACAAUGUAAAGGAAUAUUCCACAACAGAAAUGCCCUGGCUUUAAAAAGACGUUUGUGGAAGACUAUAUCCAUUUGCUAGACCUUCCAUUACAGAAUUCCACAAACCAGGAGGCUUGGACAACAAAAAUGUAUUUUCUCAUCAUCCUGAAAGCUGAAAGUCUAAGAUCAAGGUGUCUGGGGGUUGGAUUUGUUCUGAUACCUCUCUCUGUGGAUUGCAGAUGGUCUUGCUGCCUCUGCAAGGUCUUUAUCUCCUCUUUUUAAGGGAAUGUUGAUUAGAUAGGUUAGGGCCCGACCUUAGGACUGUAUCUUCAGUCAGAAAGCAGGAAAAGAUGGGUGCUAUUCUUAGUGCUUUUACAUUUUUAUGUAGUCUGUGCCCUCAGCCCACAUCUAGCAUGGCUCUUUCUUUCUCAGUUAAUCGUCUCAGGGAACACCCUCAGAGACAUACCCAGAGUUGUGUCUCCUAGGUAACUCUAAAAUCCAAACUAGCAUGCCUGGCAGAGUGGCCCACACCUUUAGUCCCAACACUUGGGAGGCAGAAAGAGGCAGAUCUCUGUGAAUUCAAGGCCAGCCUGAUCUACAUAGUGAGUUCCAGAACAGCCAGGGCUACAUAGUCAGACUGUGAGACCCUAUCCCAAAAAUAAAACAACAACAAAAAAGAAAAAACACCAAUACUUUGUUUUGUGUGUAAUGAGGUAAAUAAAAUAUGUUGGUUAAUGUCAUGUGAACUUGACACAAGCUAGAGUCAGUUGGGAAGAGAGAGACUCUCAGUUGGGAUAAUACUUUUAUAAGAUUGGCCUACGGGACAUUCUCUUGAUUAGUGAUUGAUAGGGGGUAGCUCACUGUGAGCAGUAUCUCCCCUGGGCAAAUGGGCCUAGGUGGUAUGAAAAAGCAGGCUGAGAAAGCCAUGAAGAACAAGCCAGUAAGCAGCAUUCCUCCAAGACCUGUGCAUCAGUUCCUGCCUCCAGGCUCCUGCCUUGAGUUCCUGCCCUGACUUCCCUCUGUGAUAGAAUGUGACCCGAGAGAUAUCAGAUGAAAUGAGCCCUUUCUCCUCUAAGUUGCUUUUGGUCAUGGAGUUUCAUCACAGCAAUAGA